UCUCAGCUAGUGACCUGCGGAGGGAUCAUUACUGAGUGUGGGCUCCGGCCCUACCUCCAACCCCAUGUCGAAACGACUCUGUUGCCUCGGGGGCGACCCGGCCUUCGGGCGUCGGGGCCCCCGGUGGACACCUUCAUAACUCUUGCAUCUCUUGCGUCUGAGUGAUACAUAUAAUCAAUCAAAACUUUCAACAACGGAUCUCUUGGUUCUGGCAUCGAUGAAGAACGCAGCGAAAUGCGAUAAGUAAUGUGAAUUGCAGAAUUCAGUGAAUCAUCGAAUCUUUGAACGCACAUUGCGCCCCCUGGCAUUCCGGGGGGCAUGCCUGUUCGAGCGUCAUUACACCACUCAAGCCUGGCUUGGUAUUGAGCGCCGCGGCCUGCCCGCGCGCUCCAAUGUCUCCGGCUGAGCCGUCCGUCUCUAAGCGUUGUGAAUAGCGAUCGCUUGCGAGGCCCGGGCGGUUCGACGCCGUUAAACCCCCCAUUUUCUAUGGUUGACCUCGGAUCAGGUAGGGAUACCCGCUGAACUUAAGCAUAUCAAUAAGCGGAGGAAAAGAAACCAACAGGGAUUGCCCUAGUAACGGCGAGUGAAGCGGCAACAGCUCAAAUUUGAAAUCUGGCGCAAGCCCGAGUUGUAAUUUGUAGAGGAUGCUUCUGGGCAGCGGCCGGUCUAAGUUCCUUGGAACAGGACGUCAUAGAGGGUGAGAAUCCCGUAUGCGACCGGCUUGCACCCGUCACGUAGCUCCUUCGACGAGUCGAGUUGUUUGGGAUGCAGCUCUAAUGGGAGGUAAAUUUCUUCUAAGCUAAUACCGGCCAGAGACCGAUAGCGCACAGUAGAGUGAUCGAAAGAUGAAAAGCACUUUGGAAG
rnacentral:rRNA from 1 species